GAGGAUAUAGCUCAAGUGGUAGAGUGCAUGCUUAGCAUGCACAAGGUCCUGGGUUCAAUCCCCAGUAUCUCCU
rnacentral:tRNA from 1 species